GACGAACGCUGGCGGCGUGCCUAAUACAUGCAAGUUGAGCGAUGAAGAUUGGUGCUUGCACCAAUUUGAAGAGCAGCGAACGGGUGAGUAACGCGUGGGGAAUCUGCCUUUGAGCGGGGGACAACAUUUGGAAACGAAUGCUAAUACCGCAUAACAACUUUAAACAUAAGUUUUAAGUUUGAAAGAUGCAAUUGCAUCACUCAAAGAUGAUCCCGCGUUGUAUUAGCUAGUUGGUGAGGUAAAGGCUCACCAAGGCGAUGAUACAUAGCCGACCUGAGAGGGUGAUCGGCCACAUUGGGACUGAGACACGGCCCAAACUCCUACGGGAGGCAGCAGUAGGGAAGCUUCGGCAAUGGACGAAAGUCUGACCGAGCAACGCCGCGUGAGUGAAGAAGGUUGUCGGAUCGUAAAACUCUGUUGGUAGAGAAGAACGUUGGUGAGAGUGGAAAGCUCAUCAAGUGACGGUAACUACCCAGAAAGGGACGGCUAACUACGUG
rnacentral:rRNA from 1 species